AAGAGUAUAGUUUAAUUGGUAAAGCAGGAAGCUUCAAACUUCUCAUUUUCAGUUCAAGUCUGAAUACUCUUG
rnacentral:tRNA from 1 species